UACGGAGGGGGCUAGCGUUGUUCGGAAUUACUGGGCGUAAAGCGCACGUAGGCGGAUUGGAAAGUUGGGGUGAAAUCCCGGGGCUCAACCCCGGAACUGCCUUCAAAACUCCCAGUCUGGAGGUCGAGAGAGGUGAGUGGAAUUCCGAGUGUAGAGGUGAAAUUCGUAGAUAUUCGGAGGAACACCAGUGGCGAAGGCGGCUCACUGGCGUCGAUAC
rnacentral:rRNA from 1 species